rnacentral:rRNA from 1 species
UUGUGCGAGACCGAUAGCGAACAAGUACCGUGAGGGAAAGAUGAAAAGAACUUUGAAAAGAGAGUCAAAGAGUACCUGAAACUGCUGAAAGGGAAGCGAAUCGUAUCCAGUGUCUAUAAUCUGCGGCAUAUUUCAUUGGCGGCAGUGUGCGUGCUUUUGCGUCGGAAGCGGCUUUUGUUGCUCUGUGCUUUUGCUGUGCGUGCUGUUGCUGGUGCCCUGUGUUGCGGUGGGACGUCAGAGUCAGUUCGUAUGCUGCGGGAAAUGGCCGCCGAGGAGGUAGGUCAGGACUUCGGUCUUGGCUGUUAUAUCUUGGUGGUUUGUUGUCGUGGUUGGGACUGAGGUGCCUACAAUGUGCUUUUGAGUGUGCCGGGUUCUCAUUUGGUGGACUGUUUGGAUCGCUUGCUAUGCUUGUGGUUUUUUCAUCGAGUGAUUGAGUCUGGUGGUAACUUGUUGCUGUUCGGGACUUUGAAA